rnacentral:rRNA from 1 species
GGGUUGUGAGGUUAAGCGACUAAGCGUACACGGUGGAUGCCCAGGCAGUCAGAGGCGAUGAAGGACGUGCUAAUCUGCGUAAAGCGACGGUAAGGUGAUAUGAACCGCUACAGCCGUCGAUGUCCGAAUGGGGAAACCCGGUGCACUCUGUGCAUCAUUGCAGCAUGAAUACAUAGUGCUGCAAGGCGAACCGGGGGAACUGAAACAUCUAAGUACCCCGAGGAAAAGAAAUCAACCGAGAUUCCCCCAGUAGCGGCGAGCGAACGGGGAGCAGCCCAGAGCCUGAAUCAGCUUGUGUGUUAGUGGAAGCGUCUGGAAAGUCGCAGGGUACAGGGUGAUACUCCCGUACACAAAAACACACAUGCUGUGAGCUCGAUGAGUAAGGCGGGACACGUGGUAUCCUGUCUGAAUAUGGGGGGACCAUCCUCCAAGGCUAAAUACUCCUGACUGACCGAUAGUGAACCAGUACCGUGAGGGAAAGGCGAAAAGAACCCCGGCGAGGGGAGUGAAACAGAACCUGAAACCGUGUACGUACAAGCAGUGGGAGCCUUCUUUAUGGGGGUGACUGCGUACCUUUUGUAUAAUGGGUCAGCGACUUAUAUUCUGUAGCAAGGUUAACCGUAUAGGGGAGCCGCAGGGAAACCGAGUCUUAACUGGGCGUUAAGUUGCAGGGUAUAGACCCGAAACCCGGUGAUCUAGCCAUGGGCAGGUUGAAGGUUGGGUAACACUAACUGGAGGACCGAACCGACUAAUGUUGAAAAAUUAGCGGAUGACCUGUGGCUGGGGGUGAAAGGCCAAUCAAACCGGGAGAUAGCUGGUUCUCCCCGAAAGCUAUUUAGGUAGCGCCUCGUGAACUCAUCUUCGGGGGUAGAGCACUGUUUCGGCUAGGGGGCCAUCCCGGCUUACCAACCCGAUGCAAACUGCGAAUACCGAAGAAUGUUAUCACGGGAGACACACGGCGGGUGCUAACGUCCGUCGUGAAGAGGGAAACAACCCAGACCGCCAGCUAAGGUCCCAAAGUCAUGGUUAAGUGGGAAACGAUGUGGGAAGGCACAGACAGCCAGGAUGUUGGCUUAGAAGCAGCCAUCAUUUAAAGAAAGCGUAAUAGCUCACUGGUCGAGUCGGCCUGCGCGGAAGAUGUAACGGGGCUAAACCAUGCACCGAAGCUGCGGCAGCGACACUAUGUGUUGUUGGGUAGGGGAGCGUUCUGUAAGCCGUCGAAGGUGUGCUGUGAGGCAUGCUGGAGGUAUCAGAAGUGCGAAUGCUGACAUAAGUAACGAUAAAGCGGGUGAAAAGCCCGCUCGCCGGAAGACCAAGGGUUCCUGUUCAACGUUAAUCGGAGCAGGGUGAGUCGACCCCUAAGGCGAGGCCGAAAGGCGUAGUCGAUGGGAAACAGGUUAAUAUUCCUGUACUCGGUGUUACUGCGAAGGGGGGACGGAGAAGGCUAUAUCAGCCGGGCGACGGUUGUCCCGGUUUAAGCGUGUAGGCGGAGGGUCCAGGUAAAUCCGGUCCCUUAUUAACGCUGAGGCGUGACGACGAGGCACUACGGUGCUGAAGUGAUAAAUGCCCAGCUUCCAGGAAAAGCCUCUAAGCAUCAGGUAACACAGAAUCGUACCCCAAACCGACACAGGUGGUCAGGUAGAGAAUACCAAGGCGCUUGAGAGAACUCGGGUGAAGGAACUAGGCAAAAUGGUGCCGUAACUUCGGGAGAAGGCACGCUGGCGCGUAGGUGGAGGGACCUGCUCCCCGAGCCGAAGCCAGUCGAAGAUACCAGCUGGCUGCAACUGUUUAUUAAAAACACAGCACUGUGCAAACACGAAAGUGGACGUAUACGGUGUGACGCCUGCCCGGUGCCGGAAGGUUAAUUGAUGGGGUUAUCCGCAAGGAGAAGCUCUUGAUCGAAGCCCCGGUAAACGGCGGCCGUAACUAUAACGGUCCUAAGGUAGCGAAAUUCCUUGUCGGGUAAGUUCCGACCUGCACGAAUGGCGUAAUGAUGGCCAGGCUGUCUCCACCCGAGACUCAGUGAAAUUGAACUCGCUGUGAAGAUGCAGUGUACCCGCGGCAAGACGGAAAGACCCCGUGAACCUUUACUACAGCUUGACACUGAACAUUGAGCCUUGAUGUGUAGGAUAGGUGGGAGGCUUUGAAGCGCGGACGCCAGUCUGCGUGGAGCCAACCUUGAAAUACCACCCUUUAAUGUUUGAUGUUCUAACGUAGGCCCGUAAUCCGGGCUGCGGACAGUGUCUGGUGGGUAGUUUGACUGGGGCGGUCUCCUCCUAAAGAGUAACGGAGGAGCACGAAGGUCAGCUAAUCACGGUCGGACAUCGUGAGGUUAGUGCAAUGGCAUAAGCUGGCUUGACUGCGAGAGUGACGGCUCGAGCAGGUGCGAAAGCAGGUCAUAGUGAUCCGGUGGUUCUGAAUGGAAGGGCCAUCGCUCAACGGAUAAAAGGUACUCCGGGGAUAACAGGCUGAUACCGCCCAAGAGUUCAUAUCGACGGCGGUGUUUGGCACCUCGAUGUCGGCUCAUCACAUCCUGGGGCUGAAGUAGGUCCCAAGGGUACGGCUGUUCGCCGUUUAAAGUGGUACGCGAGCUGGGUUUAGAACGUCGUGAGACAGUUCGGUCCCUAUCUGCCGUGGGCGCUGGAGAAUUGAGGGGGGUUGCUCCUAGUACGAGAGGACCGGAGUGAACGCACCACUGGUGUUCGGGUUGUCAUGCCAAUGGCAUUGCCCGGUAGCUAAGUGCGGAAAAGAUAAGUGCUGAAAGCAUCUAAGCACGAAACUUGCCCCGAGAUGAGUUCUCCCUGACUCCUUGAGAGUCCUGAAGGGACGUUGAAGACUACGACGUUGAUAGGCCGGGUGUGUAAGCGCAGCGAUGCGUUGAGCUAACCGGUACUAAUGACCCGUGAGGCUUAACCUUACAACGCCAGAGGCGUUU